rnacentral:rRNA from 1 species
ACGACGGAUAUGGGUUGUGAGAGCAAGAGCCCAGAGAUGGAUUCUGAGACAUGAAUCCAGGCCCUACGGGGCGCAGCAGGCGCGAAAACUUUACAAUGCGGGAAACCGCGAUAAGGGGACGCCGAGUGCCAGCAUUUAUGUUGGCUGUCCACAUGUGUAAACGGCAUGUGUUAGCAAGGGCCGGGCAAGACCGGUGCCAGCCGCCGCGGUAACACCGGCGGCCCGAGUGGUAAUCACUUUUAUUGGGUCUAAAGGGUCCGUAGCCGGUUUGAUCAGUUCUUCGGGAAAUCUGACAGCUCAACUGUUAGGCUUCCGGGGAAUACUGUCAGACUUGGGACCGGGAGAGGUAAGAGGUACUACAGGGGUAGGAGUGAAAUCUUGUAAUCCCUGUGGGACCACCAGUGGCGAAGGCGUCUUACCAGAACGGGUCCGACGGUGAGGGACGAAAGCUGGGGGCACGAACCGGAUUAGAUACCCGGGUAGUCCCAGCCGUAAACGAUGUUCGCUAGGUGUCAGGGGCGGUGCGACCGCUUCUGGUGCCGUAGGGAA